rnacentral:misc_RNA from 1 species
UUUCCGUAGGUGAACCUGCGGAAGGAUCGUUAUUGAAUAAACCUGAUGUGGUUGUAGCUGGCCCUUUCGGGAGCAUGUGCACACCCGUCGUCUUUAUCUUUCCACCUGUGCACCUUUUGUAGACCUGGAUGUAACACUUUCCGAGGCAACUCGGUCGGGAGGAAUGCUGUCAGCUUUCCUUGAAUGUCCAGGCCUAUGUUUUCAUAUACCCCAAAGAAUGUAACAGAAUGUAUUAUUGGGCCUUGUGCCUAUAAACUAUAUACAACUUUCAGCAACGGAUCUCUUGGCUCUC